AUUGUGAAAAUAUUGUCAACUAAAAUUGACAUUUUAGAAACAAAGCAAAGAGAUUCUUGUCAAAUCAAUCCAUUUAUUACACUACUUUAGUACAUACAAUGCUAACACAAAAUUCUGACAAACAAUAAUAUCUAAGCUUGACAUUUACAGCUUUACAAUUAGUUGACAUUUGACCUAAACAGUUAAGACGCCAGCUCUCUUUAAAAAAAAAAAAAAAAAAAAAAAAAAAAAAC